GGUGAUGUGGCUGUUACAUCUGGUACCCUAACGAUUGCCAGGAUGGUUUGAACUAAUUUAGUUGUUAAGGAAGUUGUUGCCUUCCUCC
ensembl:misc_RNA 7SK 7SK RNA